GACGAACGCUGGCGGCGUGCUUAACACAUGCAAGUCGAACGGAGAAUUUAUUUCGGUAAAUUCUUAGUGGCGAACGGGUGAGUAACGCGUGGGCAACCUGCCCUUCAGACUGGGGACAACAUCCCGAAAGGGGUGCUAAUACCGAAUACGAUCACGCUGCCGCAUUGGCGGCGUGAUGAAAGAUGGCCUCUAUUUAUAAGCUAUCGCUGAAGGAUGGGCCUGCGUCUGAUUAGCUAGUUGGUGGGUAACGGCCUACCAAGGCGAUGAUCAGUAGCCGGUCUGAGAGGAUGAACGGCCACAUUGGGACUGAGACACGGCCCAAACUCCUACGGGAGGCAGCAGUGGGGAAUAUUCCGCAAUGGACGAAAGUCUGACGGAGCAACGCCGCGUGAGUGAUGAAAGGUUUUCGGACUGUAAAAGCUCUGUUGUUUAGGACGAAAGUGCCUGUUGCAAAUAGUUGCAGGUAUUGACGGUACUGAACGAGGAAGCCACGGCUAAACCG
rnacentral:rRNA from 1 species